CAUCAACAGCAGAGAAAAUGGCUGCUACUCUUUGACGUCAGUGCGUGUGGUACGCCCCGGCCAGGCACGCAUUGGGCAUCAUAGAGCUGGGGGUUUCGUUUAGGAUGGGUUAAAAUGCCUCCCGGAUUAUUCAAAAUGCAAGGAACGGUGUGUUCCGUCUGUGUUCGUGUUUUCAAAUGGUGCCCAGUGUUGUUCAUCACGACCAUAGUAGCCUGGUCCUACUACGCGUAUGUCAUCCAACUGUGUUUGUUUACCAUUGACAACGUGAUCCAAAAGAUAUUUUACCUGAUUGGCUUUCAUGCCUGUUUCGCCAUGUUCGCUUGGUCAUACUGGCAGACCAUAUUCACAGAGCCAGGUACCAUUCCAAAGCAAUUCUACCUGUCACCAGCAGAUGCUGAGCACCUGGAAAAGGAACUCGGCGAAGAUAAUCAAAGGCAAAUGCUGGAAAGGCUUGCCAAGAACCUUCCUGUCUCAUGUCGAACCAUGAAUGGGAUGGUGAGAUAUUGUGAGAAGUGCCACCUCAUCAAGCCCGACAGAGCGCACCACUGUUCAGUAUGUGGGAGGUGUAUACUGAAAAUGGACCAUCAUUGUCCUUGGGUGAACAACUGUGUGUCUUUCACUAACUACAAGUACUUCAUUCUCUUCUUGGCCUACUCCUUAAUCUACUGCCUUUUCGUGGCUGCUACGACACUGCAGUUCUUCAUAAAGUUCUGGACGAAUGACCUUGAAGGCUGGGGACGUUUCCACAUCUUGUUUUUGUUUUUCGUUGCUUUCAUGUUUGCUAUCAGCUUGGUCUCGCUGUUUGGCUAUCACUGCUUCCUCGUCAUGGUGAACCGCUCUACACUUGAGGCAUUCCGGCCACCAAUAUUUCGCACAGGGCCAGACAAGCAUGGCUUCAGUCUUGGCCACCAGGCUAAUGUGGCCGAGGUAUUUGGUGACAACCGUCGUCUCUGGCUCCUACCGGUUUUCACAAGCCUGGGUGAUGGGGUGACUUAUCCAACACGCACCCAACUGGCCAGUUCAUACAACUCCAUGGGGAGCACGGAGCAGGCAAGGCGAAAAACUCGGUCUACAAGGGAAAGCAAGACGCUGCUUUUGGAUGAAUGCUUGGGCGACGGCGUCACUUUCCCACAAAAAAUUGUGGAUGAGGACACAGAUGGGCUUUUGAACCAAAGGCAGAGAUGGGCUGAAACUGACGAAGAAACAGGCCAUUCCGAUGCCUCUGGGAAUAGCAUGAAUGCAGAGGUCACAGCACUGCUUGAAUGAGCUGCUCCCAACUCUGUGUGUGUACCUUUGUGUGCGGUAACGCUGCGCCUCGUGAUAGGGAAUGUCAGCGCCAGUGUCAAGAGUUGAAAAGAUGCACAUUGCAGAUGGCGAUCACCCGGUCUAAGCCACCUGGCAUUUUUUUAAAAUCGAGCAAAGGCCCUGGGCGGCACACGACUCAACCUUGCUGCAGGAACAAUGCAAGACUGAUUUCGCUGCUGCCUCCUGACCCCUUGCGUUCCAGCCUCCAUAGAUUGUCUUGUAGCAUCGAAGAGGCUCACUGCCACCAUUUUUGGCGUCACUUGCAUGCCAACCCUCUGAGGGGAACGGAGGCUGCAUUCUUUGGCCGCAAUAGAAGAGCUGGGACUCUGCUUAAUUAAUUAUCAAUUCUUAAUGAAUUUAAUGAAAUACGAAUUCUUCUCAUCCCAUAAAAAAACAUAGCGUCCUCUGCAAAUAACAGUCACUGCUAGUCUCUCUGUGUUGAGAGGCCAGCAGCUAAGAUCGACAUGCUUCUUUUAAAUGCAUAAUGUUGAUAGUAUGUGCGUUGUGUAUUGAAUUGUAUUGUUGCAGGUAUGUAAGCCAAGGUGAUGGAGGCCACACUAUUGCAUUGUGUGCUUGUGUAACUUUUGGCAUUUCAUUGUGAUUUUCUUAAUUUAUUGCCUUAUAAUAAAAAAAACAAUUCUUUUCAGACCUCAUUUUGUUUUACUGAAUGAAUAAUUUUUUAUUGUGUCACUAUAUGUCUUUUCCUUUUGAAGCAUUUUCUGCAUAGUUCAAAAUGAAAUUUGGUCCUUUUUUUUUUGCUAGUACUAGAGCUACAAAAGUAGAUCAGUGACAUUUAGAGGUCUUGUGCACAGGCUAACUAGAUGCAGGUGUUUGACAGCAUUGUAUUUGGAUACUAGCUAUUCUGGCAAAAAAUAUUUGUUUGGUGAUGUAAAGGGUGUGAACAGUUCUUAGUUACAGCGCAGGUCAUGUCAUUUUAAUUCACUUGUAAUCUUGGGUGCACCUGAAAUGCAGAAGCCAUCAAAUGUAAAAUACAAACUACAGUGACAGCUCAUGGUCCUGCUUAUCAUUUUCUGGUGGUCAUUGUGGAAUAAGUCUAUAUUAAAAAAGCACUCUCAAGAUGAGCGAUUCUGUGAGGGUUCAGGAUCUUGCCAAGUCUUCACCUUUCACACUUUAUUACGCCUUUCUCCGUCGUGUAUAAGUUGCCACUCACCCGUAGAUAGCACCAAAAGAGUGACAGGAUGAGCCAAUUUCAGUAAACCUUGUAGAAAAACUUAAGUUGACCGAACUCAAUUUUAUUUGAGAAGCUGGUUUUUCUUUGGCAUAUCUUUGGUGUGGUCACAUCUCGUUCGCCAUCUUGCCUUUGAAAGGGCUGUUUAUUAUAGGUGAGAUGUGAUAAGCAGGGGAUAUUGUAAUAGUAUUUAUAACUUUAGCUUGAUUUAUUGUUUCUGACAUCAGUAUGCAAAGCACUGCAUACAAAUGUAAAUACUGUAAAAACUAAUCCAGUGAGUACGACUGACGGGUGCUGAUCUUUUCCCUUACCUUGAAAAGCUGUUUCACAGGUUCUAUUGCUUGAGACUUUGUUCAUGUACGGUGUCACAUGUGGCAGGAACAUAGUCAGUUCUGUUGUGUUUUUGGUGGUGUAUUGAGAUGUUUACAAGUUAAAAGUCCCCUAUAAAGCUGCUUAUAAACUGGAGCAAGGCAGCCACUGUCUAUUCACAUUUGGUUUCUUUAUAAACCAUGUUUAAAACUAUGCAGUAUAAGGCUCUGUGUAACAAUGAUGGAAUCUUCCAAAAUGCAUUAACUUCAUUACAGCUACAAUCUUUCCUUACAAAAGUAAAAGGAAGAGCCACCUCUAGCCAUGCGUUGUCACCCCAUUUUUGAUGGCUUCGACUGAAGAUUUACUCCCACACAGAGAAAUUUUGCUAAUUGGCAUAACUAUGCAGGUUUUCUUCUGCAAGCAUAAAUGCAUUGAUAAAGUGUACUUCUGACUUAUAAAUGAACAGAAAACAGCACUUGCCUUGCAGGGUGCCCUUUCAGGACAAUUUUAUUCACAACUAAUGCAGCUAUGAUGAGCAUGACGUCAAUGUAUCUAUGUAGAAAGUUGUAAAUACGGUGCAGUUUCACCCCGUUCACCCUGUUUGAGAAGUGAAGUGUGGACUUGUUAUGCAAAGAGUUGUUACUCUGUAGUUGUUUGGUGUUUCAUAAAAUAUGGGGUUGCUUACAAUUGUGCUAUCAAAUACGUUACUUUUGUCGGCCUAAGCCGGCCUUUGGGGCGCUUCUUUGUUCACCGUGCAAUACUUUGAAUGUGCUGCAAUGUACUGUUAGGUGUACUGGUUUAUGUUUUCACAUUGGUGGAAAUGAUUACGGUCAAGUUUGGUUUUGUGUGUCUUCACAGACCGAACCAGCGACCAACUUUUUUUUUUUCUCCUUUUGGUCACAGAACUGCUAUUGGAAAGCUUGCGGUGCUGCUCUAUGUAGCCAGGAUCCAGUGUGCCGUAGAUAAGAGGGAACUUUGCCAUCAUCGAGUAACUUAUCUGCACACUGCGUUGAGCUGUAUGACCUUUCAUGCUGUAGUAGUGCAGAAGACUGAACAAGAAGCAAUGCAAUCAAGUGGAUGCUACGAAGUGCUCGAUUCCCUAAGUUACAAAAUGCUAGAAGCAAUGCAAAAUUCUUCAAACACAAGAUGCUAUCGCAGCCUACAUUUCGGGAAGCGGACUUGUCUUCUUGAAGGCCUUCUAAGCCAAGUCCGCUGGUUGAAACGCAGGAGUUUCCAUUGCUUCCAAAUUCCAUCUUGCCCUUGAUUUAAUACUGUGAGAACCAAACUAAACUAGGAUUGAAUUACAAUUAACUAGAACAAUGGCCAAAACAAAUAUAUGCACACUGUGAAUCUUUACUGUAAAUUACUAAAUGUAGCAAACAAACCUUGGCAUGCAGCCAGUACAACAGCCACUGAAGUAAUAGAGGAAACGCAUUUAGGGUGCUUCUAUUCGUCGAUGAAUUGUCUGCUCGGGUGCACUUCUUAUUAUACCGUCUUCACUACUACACUAGCGAAAAGUUACAAAGUUCAUUUAUUUGAAUAGAUAUAGAAGUUGCCCUCUAGUGAUGACUGAACACUGUGCCAUGCUUUCUGUAACAUAGCAAGCUUUGAAAUCGAAGUCUUGUGACCGAACGAGUAACAUGAAAUUUCGUCGCUUUUAAAAUUUGAAAAUUGUGCUGAUGCUAAGCUCUGUGAAGGAGGCCAUUUGAUGUGUGAGCGAACAUUAAGAUGAUAUUUAAUCACCCUUUAAUUUGUAUAAAAACAAAGGGCUGUGCAUUUAUGCGCUCUGCGGUCGACCGAAUUCCGGUACAACAGUAGGUACAGCGAAGCAAGCAUUCACUCUUAAAUAUAAGCGUGAAUUGUCGUUCAUUUGGCACUGCAAACCGAUAUAAUGGCAAUCCAUGGUGACCAUUCUCUUGUAGACCAUUCUCUUGUAGUGCGCGUCCUCGAGUCCAGCAGUAUUCACGUCAGCGCACCUCCUAGGACACCAGCAGUCAUAAUUGGAACAAGCAAGACGGAGUUUCUACCGUCCCGUACUCGCAGUUGACUAACUGAAAGCUGUGUACACUUGCCGCGCAGACCACGUUCUGAAUGUUACAAAGUAAUCGGUGUACCUGCACUGCAGCUGUAUGAACAAAGUACCCUUGAGCUCCUCAAAACAGAAAUAAACCGUAGUUUGGACCUUU